ensembl:snoRNA SNORA73 Small nucleolar RNA SNORA73 family
CCCACAUCCACCUUCCCUGGGCUCUGACCCAUGAUGCACAGUCCCUUUCCACAAUGUUGGAAAAGAAACUGGACCUUGAGUCUGUGCCUGCACAUUUCUACAACUUCUCAGAGUCCUGUGGGCAAAGACUCAGAGGACAAACCAUGCAGGAAACAUUC